AGUGAACGCUGGCGGUAGGCCUAACACAUGCAAGUCGAACGGCAGCACAGUAAGAGCUUGCUCUUACGGGUGGCGAGUGGCGGACGGGUGAGGAAUACAUCGGAAUCUACUUUUUCGUGGGGGAUAACGUAGGGAAACUUACGCUAAUACCGCAUACGACCUACGGGUGAAAGCAGGGGGUCUUCGGACCUUGCGCGAUUGAAUGAGCCGAUGUCGGAUUAGCUAGUUGGCGGGGUAAAGGCCCACCAAGGCGACGAUCCGUAGCUGGUCUGAGAGGAUGAUCAGCCACACUGGAACUGAGACACGGUCCAGACUCCUACGGGAGGCAGCAGUGGGGAAUAUUGGACAAUGGGCGCAAGCCUGAUCCAGCCAUACCGCGUGGGUGAAGAAGGCCUUCGGGUUGUAAAGCCCUUUUGUUGGGAAAGAAAAGCAGCAGGUUAAUACCCCGCUGCUCUGACGGUACCCAAAGAAUAAGCACCGGCUAACUUCGUG
rnacentral:rRNA from 1 species